GAUGAACGCUGGCGGCGUGCCUAAUACAUGCAAGUCGAGCGAACGGACGAGAAGCUUGCUUCUCUGAUGUUAGCGGCGGACGGGUGAGUAACACGUGGAUAACCUACCUAUAAGACUGGGAUAACUUCGGGAAACCGGAGCUAAUACCGGAUAAUAUUUUGAACCGCAUUGUUCAAAAGUGAAAGACGGUCUUUCUGUCACUUAUAGAUGGAUCCGCGCUGCAUUAGCUAGUUGGUAAGUUAACGGCUUACCAAGGCAACGAUGCAUAGCCGACCUGAGAGGGUGAUCGGCGACACUGGAACUGAGACACGGUCCAGACUCCUACGGGAGGCAGCAGUAGGGAAUCUUCCGCAAUGGGCGAAAGCCUGACGCAGCAACGCCGCGUGAGUGAUGAAGGUCUUCGGAUCGUAAAACUCUGUUAUUAGGGAAGAACAUAUGUGUAAGUAACUGUGCACAUCUUGACGGUACCUAAUCAGAAAGCAACGGCUAACUACGUG
rnacentral:rRNA from 1 species